CAAAACCGACACAGGUGGGCGAGAUGAGUAUUCUAAGGCGCUUGAGAGAACUCGGGAGAAGGAACUCGGCAAAUUGGUACCGUAACUUCGGGAUAAGGUACGCCCUUGUAGCUUGACUGGCCUGCGCCAGGAGGGUGAGAGGGUUGCAAUAAACUGGUGGCUGCGACUGUUUAAUAAAAACACAGCACUCUGCAAACACGAAAGUGGACGUAUAGGGUGUGACGCCUGCCCGGUGCCGGAAGAUUAAAUGAUGGGGUGCAAGCUCUUGAUUGAAGUCCCGGUAAACGGCGGCCGUAACCAUAACGGUCCUAAGGUAGCGAAAUUCCUUGUCGGGUAAGUUCCGACCUGCACGAAUUGCGUAACGAUGGCCACACUGUCUCCUCCCGAGACUCAGCGAAGUUGAAGUGUUUGUGAUGAUGCAAUCUCCCCGCGGCUAGACGGAAAGACCCCAUGAACCUUUACUGUAGCUUUGCAUUGGACUUUGAACCGAUCUGUGUAGGAUAGGUGGGAGGCUAUGAAACCGGAACGCUAGUUUCGGUGGAGCCGUCCUUGAAAUACCACCCUGGUUUGUUUGAGGUUCUAACCUUGGUCCGUUAUCCGGACUGGGGACAGUGCAUGGUAGGCAGUUUGACUGGGGCGGUCUCCUCCCAAAGUGUAACGGAGGAGUACGAAGGUACGCUAGGUACGGUCGGAAAUCGUGCUGAUAGUGCAAUGGCAUAAGCGUGCUUAACUGCGAGACCGACAAGUCGAGCAGGUGCGAAAGCAGGUCAUAGUGAUCCGGCGGUUCUGUAUGGAAGGGCCAUCGCUCAACGGAUAAAAGGUACUCUGGGGAUAACAGGCUGAUACCGCCCAAGAGUUCAUAUCGACGGCGGUGUUUGGCACCUCGAUGUCGGCUCAUCUCAUCCUGGGGCUGUAGCCGGUCCCAAGGGUAUGGCUGUUCGCCAUUUAAAGAGGUACGUGAGCUGGGUUUAAAACGUCGUGAGACAGUUUGGUCCCUAUCUGCCGUGGGCGUUGGAUAUUUGAAGGGGGCUGCUCCUAGUACGAGGGGACCGGAGUGGACGAACCUCUGGUGUACCGGUUGUCACGCCAGUGGCAUCGCCGGGUAGCUAUGUUCGGAAGAGAUAACCGCUGAAAGCAUCUAAGCGGGAAACUCGCCUUAAGAUGAGAUAUCCCCGGGGACUUGAUCCCCUUGAAGGGUCGUUCUAGACCAGGACGUUGAUAGGUCAGG
rnacentral:rRNA from 1 species